rnacentral:rRNA from 1 species
UACGUAGGGUGCAAGCGUUAAUCGGAAUUACUGGGCGUAAAGCGUGCGCAGGCGGUUGUGCAAGACCUAUGUGAAAUCCCCGGGCUUAACCUGGGAAUGGCAUUGGUGACUGCACGGCUAGAGUGUGUCAGAGGGGGGUAGAAUUCCACGUGUAGCAGUGAAAUGCGUAGAGAUGUGGAGGAAUACCGAUGGCGAAGGCAGCCCCCUGGGAUAACACUGACGCUCAUGCACGAAAGCGUGGGGAGCAAACAGG